rnacentral:lncRNA from 1 species
AUGAGGUCAGUGAGGACCUGCCUCUCCCCAGGCCGGUCACUAGUCCUGGCGGUGCUCCUGGUUGACUCUCUUGGCAAGGAUUUACUUUUUCACCCUGAGUGGAGCUUUGACUCCUAUGAAAUCACCAUUCCCAAGAAGCUGAGCUUCCGUGGAGGGGAGCAGAGAGCGGCCAGGCACGUGUCCUACCUCCUGCAGGUAAAAGGCAAGAACCGUGUCCUUCAUCUGUGGCCCAAGAGGUUUCUGUUGCCUCGGAAUCUGCAGGUUUUCUCCUUCACAGAACAGGGGAGCCUCUUGGAAGAUCACCCUUAUGUACCCAAGGACUGCAACUAUAUGGGCUUGGUAGAAGGAAAUCCGGAUUCUGAGGUUACCAUAAGUACAUGCAUGGGAGGUCUCCGGGGCAUCCUGAAAAUUGCUGCCAAUCAUUACCAAAUCGAGCCCCGCAAGGCUUCUUCCCAUUUUGAGCACGUGGUGUAUCUCCUGGAGAAAGAGGAGGAAUUUCCCUCUGAUUUCUGUGGCUUAACUAAUGAUGAAACAGUAGAGCAGAUGGCCCAGCAUGAGAACAUGGCUCUUAUACCGGAAUUUACUAAUUCAUAUAUGCACCAAAAGUACUUGGAAUUAGCCCUGGUCUUUGAUAAUAGUAGGUAUUUAUAUUUGAACUCCAAUCUUACUCAAGUCAUAAGUGAUGCCAUUCUUCUGACUUCAAUUGCAGACUCUUACUUUCAAGAUGUCCGUAUGAGAAUACAACUAUUAGCUGUUGAAGUAUGGACAGACAGAAACAAAAUAAGACUUAAUUUCGGACAGCUAUCACAAGUUUUAGGCCAGUUUGUGCAGUACAGGUCACGUGACCUACGUCUUCGGAUUCCAGCAGACUGGGCACACCUGUAUGUUCACAAAAAGUUUAAGGAUGCACUUGCUCAUCACUGGGGAAGUGUAUGUAGUAUGAUGCCUUCUGGAUCUACAAGUUCUGUGCCAGAUAGAAAUAUCCUUGGCCCUGCCACUUGGACUGCUCAUGUUCUGGGCCAUAGUGUGGGAAUGACCCAUGAUUAUGAAUACUGCCAGUGUGAGGGUAGGCAUAGUUGUAUCAUGGGCACUGGACGAACUGGGUUUAGUAAUUGUAGUUAUGCCGAAUUUUAUUCACAUGUAAGUUCAGGAUUAAACUGUCUAAAUAAUCUCCCAGGCCUAGGCUAUGUGGUUAAGAGAUGUGGAAACAAAAUUGUGGAAGAGAAUGAGGAAUGUGACUGUGGUUCAGGAGAGGAGUGUGAAGAAGACUGGUGUUGUCGACCAGAUUGUAAAUUCAAAGAAGGAGCCAGCUGUAGUGCUGGACUUUGUUGUCAUAACUGUCGAUUUCGUCCAUCUGGAUACAUGUGUCGGGUGGAAGAAAAUGAAUGUGACCUUGCAGAGUACUGCAAUGGGACCUCAGCUUUCUGUCCAAGUGAUACUUAUAAGCAGGAUGGAACCCCUUGCAAGUACAGGUCCCGUUGUGUCAGAAAGGGCUGCCGAUCCAGGACUAUGCAGUGCCAAAACAUUUUUGGGGCUAAUGCUUUGGGGGCUCCUCAUCAGUGCUAUGAUGCAGUUAAUGUAAUAGGUGAUCAAUAUGGGAACUGUGGUAUUUUAGGAGUUCAUGAUUAUGAGCAGUGUCCCAAAGAAAGAUCCUUAUGUGGCAGGCUACAGUGUAUAAAUGUCGAAACCCUCCCUCAGAUGCCAGAUCACACUAUCCUAAUAUCCACUCACCUGCAUGAAGAAAAUCUCAUGUGCUGGGGCAUUGGCUAUCAUCUAGCCAUGGUACCUAUGGGGUUACCUGACCUGGGCAUGAUAAAUGAUGGUACCUCCUGUGGUAAGGAGCGGGUGUGUUUUAAUAGAAAAUGUGUGAAUAGCUCAGUCCUGAAUUUUGACUGUUUCCCUGAGAAGUGCAACCACCGAGGAGUCUGCAACAGUAACAGAAACUGCCACUGCCUGUAUGGUUGGGCCCCUCCGCUGUGUGAGGAGGUAGGAUAUGGAGGAAGCAUCGACAGUGGGCCUCCAGGACCACUAAGGAAAAACAUGCCCAUCUCUCUUCAGGUUGUGAUUCUUAUAUUAAUGCGCCUUAUUUUCUUAAUUAUCUCAGUGAUUGUUGUGUUUUACAGGAAAAUCAUAGGAAUCUAA